rnacentral:rRNA from 1 species
UAGGGAAUAUUAGAAAUGGACGAAAGUCUGAUCUAGCAGCACCGCGUGUGCGAAGAAGGCCUUUGGGUCGUAAAGCACUUUUUGGAAGGAAUAGGAAGGAAUGUACUUCCAGAAUAAGUCUCGGCUGACUACGUGCCAGCAGCCGCGGGAACACGUAGGAGGCAAACGUUAUCCGGAUUUACUGGGCGUAAAGCGCGUGUAGGUGGUACUGUAAGUAGGGCGUGAAAGCUCCUGGCUCAACUGGGAGAGGCCGUUCUAAACUACAGAACUAGAGGAUGGUAGAGGGAGGUGGAAUUCCAGGUGUAGCGGUGGAAUGCGCAGAUAUCUGGAGGAACACCGGUGGCGAAGGCGGCCUCCUGGACCAUUCCUGACACUCAGACGCGAAAGCUAGGGUAGCAAACGG